GCCACAUGGUUAGGAAAGAAUUUAGAAUUUAGAAUUUAGAAUUUAGGCAGUAAUUUGUGAACUCUCUGAUUUUGCUAGAGAGGAGUCUUUUUUUGUCUUCAAGAGAGGAAAGUAGUUUACUAUAUCAGUCACCCUGCAGGGGCUUUGAAUUGCAAAUAGAAAAACUAUGACCUCCUAAGAGAUGAUCCGUGGGUCGUUGUCUCAGAGGGGAAGAAGGGAAGAAGAUACGGCUGAAGUCCUUUAUAGGGUCAUUCUCCUGCGCUGACAGUCCAGCCUACUCAGUCCGGCCUGGAGGAGGAAGCCCAGAUCUAGAGAAGAAAAAACAGUGGUUGGAGUUUAAGAGGGUUGCCUGGAGUCCCACAGCCACUGGUGGCUCAGAUGGACCUUAAACCCACAACAUCAGAGACAUCGAGCCAACACUCUCCUAUAAACAUUCUUAAUAAAUUAAACCCGUUCACGAGGAAUGAAGCACGAGACAGAAGAGUGAGUGUGCCGAUUAAAACUCAAGAAGGCACAUUUCUCCAAUCAUGACCUGGGAGUCCUGGAGCCUUGCGUGCAA
rnacentral:lncRNA from 1 species